UACGUAGGGUGCAAGCGUUGUCCGGAAUCAUUGGGCGUAAAGCGCGCGUAGGUGGCUUUGUAAGUCCGUUGUGAAAGUCAAAGGCUCAACCUUUGAAUGCCGAUGGAUACUGCGGAGCUAGAGUACGGAAGAGGCGAGUGGAAUUCCUGGUGUAGCGGUGAAAUGCGCAGAUAUCAGGAAGAACACCCGUGGCUAAGGCGGCUCUCUAGUAACGGGUACUGACGCUGAGACGCGAAAGCGUGGGGAGCGAACAGG
rnacentral:rRNA from 1 species